rnacentral:rRNA from 1 species
UACGUAGGGUGCAAGCGUUGUCCGGAAUUAUUGGGCGUAAAGAGCUCGUAGGCGGUCUGUCGCGUCGGCUGUGAAAGCCCGGGGCUCAACCCCGGGUCUGCCAUGCCGACUGUCAGGCUAGAGUACUGUAGGGGCAGGCGGAAUUCCGGGUGUAGCGGUGGAAUGCGUAGAGAUCCGGAGGAAGACCGGUGGCGAAGGCGGCCUGCUGGGCAGUUACUGACACUGAGGCGCGACAGCGUGGGGAGCAAACAGG